rnacentral:rRNA from 1 species
UCAUGGCUCAGGAUGAACGCUAGCGGCAGGCUUAACACAUGCAAGUCGAGGGGUAACAGAGGAGCUUGCUCUUGCUGACGACCGGCGCACGGGUGCGUAACGCGUAUACAAUCUGCCUUACACUAAGGGAUAGCCCAGAGAAAUUUGGAUUAACACCUUAUAGUUUAUUUUUAUGGCAUCAUUUAAAUAAUAAAGUUUACGGUGUAAGAUGAGUAUGCGUCCCAUUAGUUUGUUGGUAAGGUAACGGCUUACCAAGACUACGAUGGGUAGGGGCCCUGAGAGGGGGAUCCCCCACACUGGUACUGAGACACGGACCAGACUCCUACGGGAGGCAGCAGUGAGGAAUAUUGGACAAUGGAGGAGACUCUGAUCCAGCCAUGCCGCGUGCAGGAAGACGGUCCUAUGGAUUGUAAACUGCUUUUAUACAGGAAGAAUAAGGACUACGUGUAGUCUGGUGACGGUACUGUAAGAAUAAGGACCGGCUAACUCCGUGCCAGCAGCCGCGGUAAUACGGAGGGUCCGAGCGUUAUCCGGAAUUAUUGGGUUUAAAGGGUCCGUAGGCGGGCUGUUAAGUCAGGGGUGAAAGUUUGCAGCUCAACUGUAGAAUUGCCUUUGAUACUGAUGGUCUUGAAUUAUUGUGAAGUGGUUAGAAUAUGUAGUGUAGCGGUGAAAUGCAUAGAUAUUACAUAGAAUACCGAUUGCGAAGGCAGAUCACUAACAAUUGAUUGACGCUGAUGGACGAAAGCGUGGGUAGCGAACAGK